UACGGGGGGGAGCAAGCGUUGUUCGGAUUUACUGGGCGUAAAGGGCGCGUAGGCGGUCGUGACAAGUCACUUGUGAAAUCUCCGGGCUUAACUCGGAACGGUCAAGUGAUACUGUCGGACUAGAGUACAGAAGGGGCAACUGGAAUUCUCGGUGUAGCGGUGAAAUGCGCAGAUAUCAGGAGGAACACCGGUGGCGAAGGCGGGUCUCUGGGCAACAACUGACGCUGAGGAGCGAAAGCGUGGGGAGCGAACAGG
rnacentral:rRNA from 1 species